rnacentral:rRNA from 1 species
ACAUGCUUACAACAUAGCAUUAAUGCAUUGGAUCCCACUAGAACUAUGUAGUUAAGUGCGCUUGGGCUAGAGUAGCACUAGGAUGGGUGACUGAUUAGGAAGUCUUAUUAUUUUACAUGCC